rnacentral:rRNA from 1 species
AUACGGAGGAUCCGAGCGUUAUCCGGAUUUAUUGGGUUUAAAGGGUGCGCAGGCGGCCAUUUAAGUCAGCGGUUAAAUCGUGGGGCUCAACCCCAUUCUGCCGUUGAUACUGGGUGGCUUGAUUGCGGUCGAGGUUGGCGGAAUUCGUUGUGUAGCGGUGAAAUGCAUAGAUAUGACGAAGAACACCGAUUGCGUAGGCAGCUGACCAGACCGCAAAUGACGCUCAUGCACGAAAGUGCGGGGAUCGAACAGGAUUAGAUACCCUGGUAGUCCACACAGUAAACGAUGAAUACUCGCUGUUUGCGAUAUACAGCAAGCGGCCAAGCGAAAGCAUUAAGUAUUCCACCUGGGGAGUACGCCGGCAACGGUGAAACUCAAAUGAAUUGACGGG